ensembl:lincRNA
AUGCUGCUGCCUAGAACACGCUCACAGCUCUGCCUGUUGCUAUUUUUCCUUUUCAGUGUCCUGGGUUCCCUCCUGCUGCUUGGACUCCAGCUUGUCUGCCCGCAGCCCUCCACGGAACACAGAAAGGUCCCGCAGCGGAUGGCUGUGGCCGAGGGCGCCCCGGAGGACGGCGGUGGCGGCGCCCCGGGCGUGUGGGGCUCCUGGGGCCCCUGGUCCGCCUGCUCGCGCAGCUGCAGCGGCGGCGUGAUGGAGCAGACGCGGCCCUGCCUGCCCAGCUCGUACCGCGCACGCGGGGGACCACGGCCUGGAGCCCCCGCGCGCGCCUUCACGGGCCACGUGGUGUCAGCCGUUCGCACAUCGGUGCCGCUGCACCGGAGCCGCGAGGAGACACGCGCCCCUGCCGACCUCAACUCUAGUCGCCAGGGCCCGGCGCUGCGAGGCAGCCGACACCCGCAGGCCCGGGGCCGCGAACCCACGGCGGAGAGAAGGAGCAGGACCCGAGGUCCCAUCGGCCCUGGCAAGUAUGGUUAUGGGAAAGCCCCGUACAUCUUACCAUUGCAGACAGACUCUGCACACCCACCGCAGAGGCUUCGGCGGCAGAGGCCCUCAUCCCGGAAUUCCAGGUCCCAGGGGGCAUCUGGCUCUAGCCAUGACUACCACCCUUCAGCUCACCAGCGCCCCCAGCAUGGACCUCUGUACCAGAGUGACAGUGGCCCGCGUUCUGGACUGCAAGCCUCAGAGGGCUCUGUCUACCAGCUGCCUUUGACCCAUGACCAAGGCUUCCCUGCAGCCUCCAGUCUCUUCCACAGCCCAGAAGCAAGCAGCAGCCCUGGGCUGGGGCCCCCCAGGGCAGCUCAGAGCUUCUCCCAGCCCACCAGAUCUACAGCCAUCUCCUGCAUCGGGGCCUACCGGCAGUACAAGCUGUGCAACACGAACGUGUGUCCAGAAAGCAGUAGAAGUAUCUGGGAGGUACAGUGUGCAUCCUACAACAACAAGCCGUUCAUGGGCCGGUUUUAUGAAUGGGAACCAUUUGCAGAAGUCAAGGGCAAUCGGAAGUGUGAGCUGAACUGCCAGGCAAUGGGCUACCGCUUCUAUGUUCGGCAAGCUGAGAAGGUCAUUGAUGGUACCCCCUGUGACCAGAACGGGACGGCCAUCUGCGUGUCUGGGCAGUGCAAGGGAAUAAAGUCCAGGGCCAAGAUGCUGGCCAAGCUGGGACUUGCCGCCCCCUGACCCAGCCGGCGUUCAGGUUGUGCCUUCACCAGCAUGAACACACUGUCAGCCUGGAGAGCCAUUCCUUGUCCACUGUUGGACCACCCAGUGGACUCUGCUCAAAAGCCACUGGCUGACCCCCUUGAACACUGUUUCUGUUCUUCUGUUCCCACUUCUUGUACUCAUUUGUUCCCAUGUCCCCAGCCUACCACCCAUCCAGGCCGGGAGCAAUUCCAGGCACUUUGCUUUUCAAUAGGUGCUUAAAAUAAAUGUGUAAAUGAAUUGAGGUACUUGGUGACUCAGUCUCUGGGGUUUUAGCAAAUGAAACUCGUCUUAAAUCCAGCACAGAGCUUUUCCUUUUGGCUUGAUGGGCAGUGGAAGGCUGCUCGCACAAGGACGCGGAGCCCCCUUGGCCAGAUCCCCAGAACCCAAGGCUUUGAAUGUCAGGCAGAAUUCUUGGCACCUCCCCAGGCUCCUGUCUCCCUCAUCUUGUUUUUAAUUUUGCUCACACUGAAUUUCUUGAGUCCAGACAGAGCUAAUGACAGGAAGAAGCUAAGCAAGUGUGAGAGUGCAGUCUCCCACGGUGCUUUCUGCUGUGGGGGGAAGACCCCUGUCUGCCCCUCCCCAUAGCCUGGUCAGCCUUUGCCUGCACCAUCUACCCAUCCUCAGGGGCCAGGGCGGGGGAGCCUUCACACCUCCUCUCCCAGCUGGGGCACUGCUCAGCUUCCAAUGGCUCCAGCAGGACGCAUCAG